AUAGGGUUUUAAAUUAAAUAUAUAAAUAUAAAAAAAUUCUAAAUAAAAUACAAAAAUAUAGUAAAAUUAUGAACAGUAACUUCUAUGCGUUUUGGCUUUACCCGGUCCAACGGUAAAAUAAAGAAUUAUAUACGUGGAUCUUCGACCAAAAUCCCCUGCAUCACCUUCAGCUAGCUUCUUUCCAAAAGCUGUCAACUGGGUAGGAGCUAGGCACGAUGAAGCUAGCAGAACACCUAUAAGGAAUAAACUGGUACAAGGAAUCCAGUUGAACCACCCAGAUCCGCUUCUUUCAUCAAGCAACACAGCUCCUCUUGUUAUUGAACUGGUGUGUUCAACUGGCAUUGCCUUGUCCCCAACCCUAACAGGCACACCCGAAGAAAUGAGCAGGAAGAAGAAUGCUUUAGAUUCCAAAAGCAGGGUUGGUAGUACCUCGCCCCGGAUCCCUUCCAGUUUGAAAUUCAUAGCCUUAGACCCCGUUGGCUCAGCAGCAUCCCUGACCGCCUCGCCUUCACAGU